GAUGAACGCUGGCGGCGUGCCUAAUACAUGCAAGUCGAGCGAACAGACGAGGAGCUUGCUCCUCUGACGUUAGCGGCGGACGGGUGAGUAACACGUGGAUAACCUACCUAUAAGACUGGGAGAACUUCGGGAAACCGGAGCUAAUACCGGAUAAUAUAUUGAACCGCAUGGUUCAAUAGUGAAAGACGGUUUUGCUGACACUUAUAGAUGGAUCCGCGCCGCAUUAGCUAGUUGGUAAGGUAACGGCUUACCAAGGCAACGAUGCGUAGCCGACCUGAGAGGGUGAUCGGCCACACUGGAACUGAGACACGGUCCAGACUCCUACGGGAGGCAGCAGUGGGGAAUCUUCCGCAAUGGGCGAAAGCCUGACGGAGCAACGCCGCGUGGGUGAUGAAGGUCUUCGGAUCGUAAAGCUCUGUUAUUAGGGAAGAACAAAUGUGUAAGUAACUAUGCACGUCUUGACGGUACCUAAUCAGAAAGCCACGGCUAACUACGUG
rnacentral:rRNA from 1 species